rnacentral:rRNA from 1 species
UACAGAGGUCUCAAGCGUUGUUCGGAAUCACUGGGCGUAAAGGGUGCGUAGGUGGCGUGGUAAGUCAGAUGUGAAAGCCCGGGGCUCAACCUCGGAAUUGCAUCCGAUACUGCCAUGCUAGAGUAUUGGAGAGGAGUCUAGAAUUCACAGUGUAGCAGUGAAAUGCGUAGAUAUUGUGAGGAAUACCAAAGGCGAAGGCAGGACUCUGGACAAUUACUGACACUGAGGCACGAAGGCUAGGGGAGCGAACGGG